UGUGUAUAAUUGUUUGGAAGUACCUCCCCCAGGUAGAACCCAAUAUCCAGCCAGGACAUAUAAUACAUGAUAAACACAACUACGUCAGAUUAAAAUUUUCUAAGGGAACAUGACCAGAAAGAGUUGAGGUUAGUUGGAUGCCAAAUUUAGUUUUCUUCGUAACAAGGAAAGAAGAAACAAGUGAGUUGGAAAGUCUUUUUUAAGCAUAGAAUGGAGCUAAAGACAGCCUAUCAACAAGUGGCUUCUUUUCCUUUUCAUUAGUUCAAAGGUGCUUGAGCCCUUGAUCAUUUCCCAUCAAGUCUCCCUUCAAGUUUCUCAAUCUAAGCCAAGGCUGAUCACCACAGCUCCACGAGAUUCUUGGCUUUAUUGAAGGAAAACAAGAAACAAUGGCAAGUGAGGCUCCCAGCUGGGCAGAUCAAUGGGGUACAGGAGGCAUUGGUUCCAUGGAAGAAGACAAUUACACGACCAAGCAAGAUACCAGCAACGAGAAGAAGUCAGAUGGCAAAGGGGGAUUAAACAAAGCCAAAGCAGCUGCUAUGUCUGGGGCUCAAAAGCUCAAGAGUGGAGCAUCCAGUAGCUUCAAAUGGGUCAAAAGUAAAUGCCAGAAAAAAUAAUCUCCAAAAUGAUUUAUAUGAAAACAAACUGGCCUCGUGUUAUUAUAGCAACAACAGAUGAUUUCUGGCAGAUUAUGUUAUGGGCUGCUAUUAAUGCUCCCUUUGUCUUCCCUCUUUUUUGUUGCAUGUUUAUUUGUCUAGGAAUUUGUUUGAAUGCUAGUUGGCUCACAAAAUAAACAGAUCUUCACCCAAAGAAAA